CCGCCACAUUGUUUAUGUAUGUGCCUGUCCCAAGUCAGGAGCCUGUAAUUCAGUGGUUGUAGUUUGUUUAUGAGUUACAUAUUUGUUUUUCGUUCAUUUUUUUUAUAUAAAUAAGGCCGUCAGUUUUCUCGUUUGAAUUGUUUUACAUUGUCAUAUCGGGGCUUUUUAUAGCUGACUAUGCGGUAUGGGCUUUGCUCAUUGUUGAAGGCCGUACGGUGACCUAUAGUUGUUAAUGUAUGUGUCAUUUUGGUCUCUUGUGGACAGUUGUC
rnacentral:lncRNA from 1 species